GCUGGGUGUGGUGGCAUGUGCCUGUAAUCCCAGCUACUUUAGAGGCUGAGGUGGGAGGAUUGCUUGAGCCCAGGAGUUCAAGGUUGCUGUGGCUAUGGUCACACAGCUGCACUCCAGCCUGGGCAACAAAGUGAGACCCCAUCUCUA
ensembl:misc_RNA Metazoa_SRP Metazoan signal recognition particle RNA